AUGGGGCUAAUUUCAUGGCAUCAUUUAAUUCUCUUCUCCAACCUAGUCUCGCUCUGCUGCGGUUUGAGUUCAGAUGGCCAUGCCCUUCUGGCUCUCUCCAGGAGGCUCAUACUACCUGAUACCAUAAGCUCGAACUGGAGUUCUUCUGAUACAACUCCCUGUGUAUGGAAGGGAGUUCAGUGCGAGAUGAACAAUGUAGUUCACCUCAAUCUAUCAUACUCCAAAGUUUCUGGUUCCAUUGGUCCUGAGGUAGGGCUUAUGAAGUACCUGCGUCAACUCGAUCUGUCAAGCAACAACAUCUCCGGUCCGAUCCCUCGUGAACUAGGCAAUUGUGUUCUGCUUGAUCUGCUGGAUCUGUCAGGUAACAGCCUUUCCGGUGGGAUCCCGGCAUCCCUCGUGAAGCUGAAGAAGCUAUCACAGCUGGCUUUGUACAGCAACUCCCUCAGUGGAGAGAUACCCGAGGGACUGUUCAAGAACCGGUUUCUGGAGCGGGUGUAUCUCCAAGACAAUAAACUCAGUGGCUCUAUCCCUUCAUCGAUUGGUGAAAUGAAGAGUCUGAAAUACUUUAGGUUGGAUGGGAACAUGUUGUCCGGAGCUCUGCCGGACUCAAUUGGCAACUGCACCAAGUUGGAGAAUCUGUAUCUAUAUGAUAACAAACUGAAUGGGAGUCUUCCGAGAUCAUUGAGCAACAUCAAAGGGCUCGUGCUCUUUGAGGCCAACAACAACAGUUUUACAGGUGACAUCUCUUUCAGAUUCAAGAGCUGCAAGCUUGAAGUGUUUGUGCUAUCUUGGAAUCAGAUCAGUGGGGAAAUCCCGGGGUGGCUGGGAAAUUGUAGCAGCUUAAUCAGACUUGCAUUUCUCCACAACCGUCUCUCUGGCCAGAUACCGACUUCACUCGGUUUAUUGAAAAAACUAUCAAUCCUUAUACUUACCCAGAAUUCUUUGUCUGGGCUGAUCCCUCCUGAGAUUGGUAGCUGUCGGUCGCUGGUGUGGCUGGAGCUGGACGCGAACCAGCUCGAGGGCACCGUUCCGAAACAGCUGGAUAAUCUGCGUAACUUGCAGCAGCUAUUUCUGUUUGAGAAUCGCCUCAGUGGGGAGUUCCCUCAGGAUAUUUGGGGCAUCCAAGGCCUCGAAUCCGUCCUUCUGUACAACAACAGCUUAUCUGGGGCCCUACCUCCAAUGUCGGCCGAGUUGAAGCACCUAAAGUUCGUCAAACUACAGGAUAACCUGUUCACUGGAGUCAUACCACCAGGAUUUGGGAUUAACAGCCCUUUAAUACAGAUUGACUUCACAAAUAAUAGGUUUGUUGGUGGAAUUCCGCCGAACAUUUGUUCAGGUAAAAGAUUGAAAGUUUGGAACUUGGGGCAUAAUUUUCUCAAUGGUACCAUCCCGUCCACUGUGGCUAACUGCCCAAGUUUGGAACGAAUUCGUCUCCAUAACAACAGUCUCAGUGGGCAAGUUCCGCAAUUCCAAGACUGUGCAAAUCUGCGGUACAUAGAUUUGAGUCACAAUUCCUUAAGUGGUCCUAUUCCUGCAAGCUUGGGCAGGUGUGCUAACAUUACAGCGAUAAACUGGUCUGAAAACAAGCUUGGUGGUCCAAUACCACCCGAACUCGGACAAUUAGUGAAGUUGGAAAGUCUUGACCUCUCCCACAACAGCCUAGAGGGGGAAAUUCCUGCACAGAUUUCCAGUUGUUCGAAGUUGCACUUGCUUGAUUUGAGUUUCAACUCUUUGAAUGGUUCUGUGCUCACAACAGUAUGCAAGCUGGAGUUCAUGUUAAAUCUGCGGCUACAGGGCAAUAGAUUAAGUGGAGGCAUUCCAGAUUGUAUCUCGCAGUUACAUGGGCUAGUCGAGCUACAACUUGGUGGCAAUGUUCUUGGGGGCAAUCUCCCUUCAUCAUUAGGAACUUUGAAAAGAUUGAGUACUUCAUUAAACCUUAGCAGCAAUGGGCUUGAGGGCAGCAUUCCAUCUCAAUUAGGCGACUUGGUGGAUCUUGCAAAUCUGGAUUUGUCAGUUAAUAAUCUCAGUGGGAGUCUUGCUCCGUUAGGAAGUCUACGUGCAUUAUAUGCCCUGAAUCUUUCCAAUAACAGAUUCAGCGGGCCAGUGCCAGAUAAUCUUUUACUACAGUUUAUGAAUUCCACACCAAGUCCAUUCAGUGGAAAUUCAGGUCUCUGUAUGCCUUGUCAUGAUGUUGGUUCUUCUUGCAAGGGAGCUAAUGUUUUGGAACCUUGUAGUUCAUUGAGGAAAAGAGGAGUACACAGCCGAGUCAAGAUAGCUAUGAUAUGUCUUGGUUCAGUUUUGCUCGGUGCAUUUAUGAUACUCUGUAUCUUUCUGAAAUACAGAGGUUCCAAGACUAAACCUGAGGGAGAGUUAAAUCCAUUUUUUGGGGAUUCAUCUUCUAAAUUAAAUGAAGUUUUGGAAUCAAUUGAAAACUUUGAUGACAAGUACAUCAUCGGCACAGGUGGCCAAGGAACUGUAUACAAGGCAACAUUGAGGUCAGGAGAAGUAUAUGCCGUGAAGAAGCUUGUGGGUCAUGCACACAAGAUUUUGCAUGGAAGCAUGAUAAGGGAGAUGAAUACGCUUGGUCAAAUUAGGCAUAGGAACUUAGUAAAACUAAAGGAUGUUUUGUUCAGGCGUGAGUAUGGGUUGAUCCUCUAUGAAUUUAUGGACAAUGGCAGCCUUUAUGAUGUUCUGCAUGGGACCGAGCCAGCUCCAGUUCUAGAGUGGAGGACACGGUAUGACAUAGCUCUUGGUACAGCACAUGGUUUAGCUUAUCUCCACAAUGACUGCCACCCAGCCAUUAUUCACCGUGACGUUAAACCGAAAAAUAUACUGUUAGAUAAGGACAUGGUACCACAUAUUUCAGACUUUGGCAUUGCAAAGCUUAUCGACCUAUCUCCUGCUGCUUCAGAAACUACUGGAAUCGUUGGCACUGUUGGGUAUAUGGCCCCAGAGAUGGCAUUUUCAACCAGGAGUACCGUAGAGUUCAACGUGUACAGCUAUGGAGUGGUAUUACUCGAACUGAUUACCAGAAAGAUGGCCCUGGAUCCCUCAUUUCCUGACAAUGUGGAUCUAGUCAGCUGGGUAUCCUCCACCUUGAAUGAGGGCAACAUAAUCGAAUCAGUGUGCGACCCUGCUCUAGUGCGUGAGGUAUGUGGCACUGCUGAACUUGAGGAAGUAUGCAGUGUGCUGUCGAUAGCCCUUAGAUGCACCGCGGAGGAUGCAGGAAAGAGGCCUUCCAUGAUGGAUGUUGUGAAAGAGCUGACACGUGCUAGGCGCGAGGUUGUAUCACUACCGAAGCAGGCGAUAUCUGGUUCCAGCAGUUCCUGUCAAAACCUGGCAACUUGA
rnacentral:rRNA from 1 species